GUUUGAUCCUGGCUCAGAACGAACGCUGGCGGCAGGCCUAACAUGCAAGUCGAACGCCCCGCAAGGGGAGUGGCAGACGGGUGAGUAACGCGUGGGAACCUACCUAGAGGUGCGGAAUAGCCCAGGGAAACUUGGAGUAAUACCGCAUAAGCCCGCAAGGGGAAAGAUUUAUCGCCUUUAGAUGGGCCCGCGUCUGAUUAGCUAGUUGGUGAGGUAAUGGCUCACCAAGGCGACGAUCAGUAGCUGGUUUGAGAGAAUGACCAGCCACACUGGGACUGAGACACGGCCCAGACUCCUACGGGAGGCAGCAGUGGGGAAUCUUGGACAAUGGGGGCAACCCUGAUCCAGCCAUGCCGCGUGAGUGACGAAGGCCUUAGGGGUUGUAAAGCUCUUUUGGCGGGGUACGAUAAUGACGGUACCCGCAGAAUAAGUCCCGGCUAACUUCGUGCCAGCAGCCGCGGUAAUACGAAGGGGACU
rnacentral:rRNA from 1 species